UACGGAGGGAGCUAGCGUUGUUCGGAAUUACUGGGCGUAAAGCGCGCGUAGGCGGCUUUGUAAGUUAGAGGUGAAAGCCUGGAGCUCAACUCCAGAACUGCCUUUAAAACUGCAUCGCUUGAAUCCAGGAGAGGUGAGUGGAAUUCCGAGUGUAGAGGUGAAAUUCGUAGAUAUUCGGAAGAACACCAGUGGCGAAGGCGGCUCACUGGACUGGUAUUGACGCUGAGGUACGAAAGCGUGGGGAGCAAACAGG
rnacentral:rRNA from 1 species